GAAAGAGUGCUGUGAGAGAGAGUGCUGUGAGUGCUGUGUGAGAGUGCUGUGUGUGAUGUGUGAGAGUGCUGUGUGUGAUGGGUGUGAGAGUGCUGUGCGUGAAAGUGCUGUGUGUGAUGGGUGUGAGAGUGCUGUAUAAAUGUUAUUGUGUGUGUGUUUAGGGGGGGUAAAUAAACCAAAACAAAAAACAGGCAUUAUGUGUCCCCCCCCUCCCUUCUUACCUUUAGCCUGGGAGGGGGGGGCACGCUGGGACUGGCAGGCGGGGUGGCGGGGUUCCCUGGUGGUCCUCGUGGGUGAGUGGCAACGCGCCGGAUCUCGCGAG